rnacentral:rRNA from 1 species
AGAGUUUGAUCCUGGCUCAGGAUGAACGCUAGCGACAGGCUUAACACAUGCAAGUCGAGGGGCAGCGGGGGCGAAGCUUGCUUCGCCUGCCGGCGACCGGCGCACGGGUGAGUAACACGUAUGCGACCUGCCCCCCGCAGGGGGAUAACCGGGAGAAAUCCCGACUAAUACCGCGUAACGCCGCUGGGCUGCAUGGCCCGGCGGCCAAAGGAAGCGAUUCCGGCGGGGGAUGGGCAUGCGGCGCAUUAGCUAGUCGGCGGGGUAACGGCCCACCGAGGCGACGAUGCGUAGGGGUUCUGAGAGGAAGGUCCCCCACACUGGUACUGAGACACGGACCAGACUCCUACGGGAGGCAGCAGUGAGGAAUAUUGGUCAAUGGGCGGGAGCCUGAACCAGCCAAGUCGCGUGAGGGAAGACGGUCCUACGGAUUGUAAACCUCUUUUGCCGGGGAGCAACGGGGUCCUUGCGAGGGCCCGAUGAGAGUACCCGGAGAAAAAGCAUCGGCUAACUCCGUGCCAGCAGCCGCGGUAAUACGGAGGAUGCGAGCGUUAUCCGGAUUUAUUGGGUUUAAAGGGUGCGUAGGCGGGCUGUUAAGUCAGCGGUCAAAUGUCGGGGCUCAACCCCGGCCUGCCGUUGAAACUGGCGGCCUCGAGUGGGCGAGAAGUAUGCGGAAUGCGUGGUGUAGCGGUGAAAUGCAUAGAUAUCACGCAGAACUCCGAUUGCGAAGGCAGCAUACCGGCGCCCGACUGACGCUGAGGCACGAAAGCGUGGGUAUCGAACAGGAUUAGAUACCCUGGUAGUCCACGCAGUAAACGAUGAAUGCUAGCUGUCCGGUUCUACGGGACUGGGUGGCACAGCGAAAGCGUUAAGCAUUCCACCUGGGGAGUACGCCGGCAACGGUGAAACUCAAAGGAAUUGACGGGGGCCCGCACAAGCGGAGGAACAUGUGGUUUAAUUCGAUGAUACGCGAGGAACCUUACCCGGGCUCAAACGCCAAAGGACAGCCGCUGAAAGGCGGCCUCCCUCCGGGGUCUUUGGCGAGGUGCUGCAUGGUUGUCGUCAGCUCGUGCCGUGAGGUGUCGGCUUAAGUGCCAUAACGAGCGCAACCCCCAUCGACAGUUGCUAACGGGUGAUGCCGAGGACUCUGUCGAGACUGCCGGCGCAAGCUGCGAGGAAGGCGGGGAUGACGUCAAAUCAGCACGGCCCUUACGUCCGGGGCGACACACGUGUUACAAUGGCCGGUACAGCGGGAUGCCAGGGCGCGAGCCCGAGCGGAACCCGAAAACCGGUCUCAGUUCGGAUUGGAGUCUGCAACCCGACUCCAUGAAGCUGGAUUCGCUAGUAAUCGCGCAUCAGCCACGGCGCGGUGAAUACGUUCCCGGGCCUUGCACACACCGCCCGUCAAG